GAUUUGACAACUUUUACACAAAAACAAAGAAUUUGACUUUGGUUGGUCUCAGGAAAGACAUAAAUAUAAAUGGAUAGAAAAGGUGAAUAACAAAAACAUUUCAGGUUUUACUACAGGGCAUAAAUAGCAUUUAGGUCUGGGCUUUAACUAGGCCAUUCCAGCAUAAAGAAGCUUUGAUCAGAACCAUCCCUGAUAGCUCUGCCUCUAAGAGAAGAUCAAAUAAACACCAUCCUAAAUCAAUCCGUCUCUGCCUUUUGUAACCCUACAUGUAAAUGUUGUGUCUUCCAGCGCUGUCUGAUGAAGUCAGACUGGUAGCAGGAAGGAGUCGCUGUGGUAGCCGACUGGAGAAGAAGCAUCUGGGAAACUGGAAACCAGUGGAAUAUGGGGACUGGAACUGGAACCUUACAUCAGCAGCUGUAGCUAGCAGACAGCUCCACUGUGGAUCUGUGGUGUCGAUACAAAGAGAUGAGAUACAAUCUACAGAUCAUCUGUUCAGACUCAGUCAGGCUGGUUCAAGGGACCAACCGGUGCUCAGGCAGACUGGAGGUGAAGACCAACCAGUCGUGGUCCUCAGUGUG